CGAGCGUGGGGCUCCUCCUCGGCCCGUGCUGCCCUGAGGCGUGGCGAGCCAUAAUCUUCAGGAGCCAGGAAGGUGUCUGCAAAGACAACUUUUCUCUAUCAAAGGGAAAUAUCUUUGGAAUUACAUCCCGAAUUCCCAAAGCUCCCUUUGAAAGCAUGGGUGUCUGCAGGGAGCUGUGCAGAGCGCUGUGCCUGAGCUGUGCCUGCUGCUGUUAGAAGGAGGAGCACGAGAGUCAGCAGAACUCCGUGCUUCAGGCUUUCUGCAUUCUCACAGAUAAACCAGCCAGGUGAAGCAAACAAUGACUGCAUUGAAAACAGGCAUUGAAAGGCAGAGCUUGAGUUGUCCCAGUUUUUGUCCCUCAGAAGUCAAGGUGAGAGAGAGGUCAGAAUUGGAAUAGCCUUACCACAGACACACAGUAGUAUACAUAAAUGCAUACAUGUAUGUGAUGGCAUAUACAUACAUAGACAUUAUGUGCCAUGUUUCUAUCAUGUCUGUGUAAUUCUGCCUGCUCAGUGAGUCCUGUCCUUGCCCUCCCUCAUCUUAAAAAAAAAAAAAAAAAAAAAAAAAAAACCAAACAAGUGAAUAUAUGAAAUUCCAGUCCUUCUUUUAGUCCUUAUACUUCUCUUUGGCCAAUAGGAAAUGGUCUCAAUUUGGGAAAUUAAUUUCCUGCUGCGACUUGUGUUGAUGCAGUUAUACACUGCAGUUAUACACUGCAGAUAUGAAUCUGAUCUGACUUUGUAAGAACAAUACUACUCUGUGGGAAGCAAACUUUUUAUUUCUCUUGUGACUACAAACAUUGUGGCUACAGUAUGGUAACAGGUGCUUCAAAAGCAGCUUUUGUCUCAGACAGACAGGGAGGCUUAUCAGCAGAAGCACAUCAGAAUGAUACUGUAUGAAGAGAGAGGAAUGCUUCAAACACAUGCUGUUUGUCAAGGUAGAUUCUUGAAUUCUGGACAGAUCACAUAGCUAUUUAUUGCUCCUUCAGUUGUUGGCUUGGAAUAUUAAAUAUUCAUGUUUCAUAUUAAAUAUUAAAUAUUCUUCUGAGAGCAAAAAUGAUUUUGUCAGCAUCCCUGACAGUCUGAAACUUGACAGUUGUGGAGGACCAUGUGCAUUAUCUCUUCUGUUGUCGUUGUUUGUUCAUUCUUUGGAAAAUUAAAAUAAGCACUUUGUAGAAGCUUAACACCUCAGGGUUUGUACUUCCUGUAUCUGUUUCCUGAGAUGAUACACAGCCGUGUGCUGUUAGGAUGGAUAUUAGGGAUGAAUAUUAUUCCCACUGACCCAAGAUAAAUCAGCGGUGAAGUCGUGUGUCUCUUGCCCUGUUUUGAAUAGUAGAUACAUAGUCUAUUUAAUAUUCUGUUUUGAACUUCUUGUUCUUAUAUAUUCUCC
ensembl:lncRNA